UAGAAAAAGAAAGCGUGUAUGAACUUCAUUUGAAGAUAAGGAUAUAAGAAUGAUGAAGUAUUUCAUCAUACUGAGUGUAUUAGGAAUUGUGUGGUGUACCAAUUAUCAUUUAAGAAGAGAUACCAAAUGUACCAAA